ACGUAGGGGGCAAGCGUUAUCCGGAUUUACUGGGUGUAAAGGGUACGUAGGCGGCUAACUAAGUCAGAUGUGAAAGCCCGGAGCUCAACUCCGGGAUUGCAUUUGAAACUGGUUAGCUAGAGUACAGGAGAGGUAAGUGGAAUUCCUAGUGUAGCGGUGAAAUGCGUAGAUAUUAGGAAGAACACCAGUGGCGAAGGCGACUUACUGGACUGUUACUGACGCUGAGGUACGAAAGCGUGGGGAGCGAACAGG
rnacentral:rRNA from 1 species